rnacentral:misc_RNA from 1 species
CAAAACCAUUGGCUAGGCACAGAGAGGACGAUGCAUAUCUCUCCAUUGAUGUUGGUGGCGAUAGCUUUAUAUGCAAUUUUAGUUGGAUCAUCAAGACCCCUGGCCUACGCUCAGCUAUCUCCAACAUUUUAUGAUCAAAGCUGCCCAAACGUCUCCAACAUUAUUCGUGGAGUCAUCCAAGAAUCCUUGCAAUCUGAUUCCAGGAUUGGUGCCAGCCUCAUCAGGCUUCAUUUCCAUGACUGCUUUGUCAAUGGUUGCGAUGCAUCAAUUUUGUUGGACAAUACUGAUACUAUAGAGAGUGAGAAACAAGCUGCUGCAAAUAACAACUCAGCUAGAGGUUUUGAUGUUGUUGAUACAAUGAAGGCUAGAUUGGAGAGUGCUUGUCCUGGCAUUGUUUCUUGUGCUGAUAUUCUAACUGUUUCAGCUCAACAAUCUGUUGAUUUGGCAGGAGGGCCAACAUGGACAAAUCUACUUGGAAGAAGAGAUAGCUUAACAGCAAGCAGAAGUCAAGCUAAUCUUAGCAUUCCAGGUCCUUUCGAGACCCUUGACCAGCUCAAGUCCAAGUUCACCGCCGUAGGCCUCAACAACAAUACCGAUCUAGUUGCCCUAUCUGGUGCUCACACGUUUGGAAGAGCUCAAUGCAGAACAUUUAGCCCCCGUUUGUACAACUUCAAUAACACUAAUUCUCCAGACCCAACAUUGAACACAACAUAUCUGCAAACGCUUCAACAAAUAUGUCCACAAGGAGGAAAUGGGAGUGUAAUAACUAAUCUUGAUCUAACAACUCCUGAUACCUUUGAUAAUGAAUAUUUCUCCAAUCUUCUAGUUGGAGAAGGCCUUCUCCAGAGUGAUCAAGAACUAUUUAACACUACUGGGGCUGAUACUGUUGCUAUUGUUCAAAAUUUUAGUGCUAAUCAGACUGCUUUUUUUGAAAGCUUUGUGACGUCCAUGCUCAGAAUGGGAAAUCUCAGCGUUUUAACAGGAACUACUGGAGAGAUUAGAUUGAAUUGCAGCAAAGUUAAUGGAAAUUCAUCAGCUGGAGCAGAAACUCUUCUUGUUAGCUCCAUGUGAUUUAAGAAAAACGUUGUAUGCUAAAAUAAGCUGUCAUGAUUAGAC